rnacentral:lncRNA from 1 species
GGGGCCUGGUAGCCACAGUUGCAGGUUGGGCUGGAAUAAUUGUUCCUUCUCUUGAUGUGUCCUUGUUCUCAGGUCAGGUUGAUAUGGCUAGGCGGCCUGCUGGCGAGAUAGUGGGAGUGGGCGGCCCGCCCCUCAGGACCUCUGACCUGGACAGAUGACUGGAUGACUCUCUGGGGCAGCAUUCACCGGAACUCAUAUGGAGAGGACUGCCUGAGAAACCAACCUGUGUGCCUGGGUCAGGUUGAUAUGGCUAGGCGGCCUGCUGGCGAGAUAGUGGGAGUGGGCGGUCCGCCCCUCAGGACCUCUGAUUUGGACAGAUGACUGGAUGACUCUCUGGGGCAGCAUUCACCGGAACUCAUAUGGAGGGGACUGCCUGAGAAACCAACCUGUGUGCCUGGGUCAGGUUGAUAUGGCUAGGCGGCCUGCUGGCGAGAUAGUGGGAGUGGGCGGUCCGCCCCUCAGGACCUCUGACUUGGACAGAUGACUGGAUGACUCUCUGGGGCAGCAUUCACCGGAACUCAUAUGGAGGGGGCUGCCUGAGAAACCAACCUGUGUGCCUGGGUCAGGUUGAUAUGGCUAGGCGGCCUGCUGGCGAGAUAGUGGGAGUGGGCGGUCCGCCCCUCAGGACCUCUGACUUGGACAGAUGACUGGAUGACUCUCUGGGGCAGCAUUCACCGGAACUCAUAUGGAGGGGGCUGCCUGAGAAACCAACCUGUGUGCCUGGGUCAGGUUGAUAUGGCUAGGCGGCCUGCUGGCGAGAUAGUGGGAGUGGGCGGUCCGCCCCUCAGGACCUCUGACUUGGACAGAUGACUGGAUGACUCUCUGGGGCAGCAUUCACC